rnacentral:rRNA from 1 species
AUUGAACGCUGGCGGCAUGCUUUACACAUGCAAGUCGAACGGCAGCACGGGCUUCGGCCUGGUGGCGAGUGGCGAACGGGUGAGUAAUAUAUCGGAACGUACCCAAGAGUGGGGGAUAACGUAGCGAAAGUUACGCUAAUACCGCAUACGAUCUAUGGAUGAAAGCGGGGGAUCGCAAGACCUCGUGCUCCUGGAGCAGCCGAUAUCUGAUUAGCUAGUUGGUGAGGUAAAGGCUCACCAAGGCGACGAUCAGUAGCUGGUCUGAGAGGACGACCAGCCACACUGGAACUGAGACACGGUCCAGACUCCUACGGGAGGCAGCAGUGGGGAAUUUUGGACAAUGGGCGCAAGCCUGAUCCAGCAAUGCCGCGUGAGUGAAGAAGGCCUUCGGGUUGUAAAGCUCUUUUGUCAGGGAAGAAACGGUAGGGGCUAAUAUCCCUUGCUAAUGACGGUACCUGAAGAAUAAGCACCGGCUAACUACGUGCCAGCCGCCGCCGUAACAC